CGGCAAUAGCUCAAAUUUGAAAGCUGGCCCCUUUGGGGUCCGCGUUGUAAUUUGUAGAGGAUGAUUCGGCGAGGGCUCCCGUCUAAGUCCCCUGGAACGGGGCGUCAUAGAGGGUGAGAAUCCCGUAUGUGAUGGGUUGCCUUAGCCAUGUGAAUCUCCUUCGACGAGUCGAGUUGUUUGGGAAUGCAGCUCUAAAUGGGAGGUAAAUUUCUUCUAAAGCUAAAUACCGGCCAGAGACCGAUAGCGCACAAGUAGAGUGAUCGAAAGAUGAAAAGCACUUUGGAAAGAGAGUUAAAAAGUACGUGAAAUUGUUGAAAGGGAAGCGCUUGCAGCCAGACUUGUCCGCAGUUGCUCAGCCGGUCUCCUGACCGGCGUACUCUUCUGCGGCCAGGCCAGCAUCAGUUCGGGCGGUCGGAUAAAGACCCCAGGAAUGUAGCUCCUCUCGGGGAGUGUUAUAGCCUGGGGUGGAAUGCGGCCAGCCUGGACUGAGGAUCUCGCUUCGGCUAGGAUGCUGGCGUAAUGGCUGUAAGCGGCCCGUCUUGAAACACGGACCAAGGAGUCUAACAUCUAUGCGAGUGUUUGGGUGUCAAACCCAUACGCGUAAUGAAAGUGAACGGAGGUGGGAACCCUCACGGGUGCACCAUCGACCGAUCCUGAUGUCUUCGGAUGGAUUUGAGUAAGAGCAUAGCUGUUGGGACCCGAAAGAUGGUGAACUAUGCCUGAAUAGGGUGAAGCCAGAGGAAACUCUGGUGGAGGCUCGCAGCGGUU
rnacentral:rRNA from 1 species